UACAGAGGGCUCAAGCGUUGUUCGGAUUCAUUGGGCGUAAAGGGUGCGUAGGUGGCGCCAUAAGUCAGGUGUGAAAUCUCGGGGCUUAACUCCGAAACUGCAUUUGAUACUGUGGUGCUUGAGGACUGGAGAGGAGACUGGAAUUCACGGUGUAGCAGUGAAAUGCGUAGAUAUCGUGAGGAAGACCAGGGGCGAAGGCGGGUCUCUGGACAGUUCCUGACACUGAGGCACGAAGGCCAGGGGAGCAAACGGG
rnacentral:rRNA from 1 species